AGAGCGAACGCUGGCGGCAGGCUUAACACAUGCAAGUCGAACGAACUCUUCGGAGUUAGUGGCGGACGGGUGAGUAACACGUGGGAACGUGCCUUUUGGUUCGGAAUAGCUCCUGGAAACGGGUGGCAAUGCCUAAUGUGCCCUUCGGGGGAAAGAUUUAUCGCCAUUAGAUGAGCCUAGGUCGGAUUAGCUAGUUGGUGAGGUAAUGGCUCACCAAGGCGACGAUCCGUAACUGGUCUGAGAGGAUGAUCAGUCACACUGGAACUGAGACACGGUCCAGACUCCUACGGGAGCAGCAGUGGGGAAUAUGGACAAGUGGGACAAAGCCUGAUCCAGCCAUGCCGCGUGUGUAGAAGAAGGUCUUCGGA
rnacentral:rRNA from 1 species